GGGCCUGUAGCUCAGCGGUUAGAGCGGCGGACUCAUAAUCCGUUGGUCGGGGGUUCAAAUCCCUCCGGGCCCA
rnacentral:tRNA from 1 species